rnacentral:lncRNA from 9 species
AAUUGAGAAGCGGGGCCGUUUCUGGCUUCCCUUAGCACACAGCUGGGAGGAGCUGACAUGUGGAUUCCCUAUUAACUGGUGCUGCCUGUGAUUUUUGUGAUUUAAGUGAGGAGCCGACUAUGUUUUUCAGCACAUUACAAGCAAUGAAAUGGAUGAUGAAGUGCUGUGCUCUUUUCCAGGACCAGCUGCACUUCCAGCCAGACGGGAGAUGGACGGCCUCGCUUGACUUCAUGGGACGCAGCAUCCCUCCCCCAGGGAUGGGGAAGGUAGCAUAGCCAGCAGGUCCCUGGCUGCUGGGGAGGAGAGGGGGGGAGUCACGGUCAUUCCCCCUGGUGACUGAGCAGAGAGAAGUGCAGCCUUCACAAGCCACUGGGUGGAUUUUCCAGGAUCAUAGACAUAUUAUUAGAAUUCCUAACCUCACUGGACCUUUUUUUCCCCCUUAAUGUGAGGCACUACAGGAAGCUUCUUCGAAUCACUCCUAAGGCUUUAUAAAAAUACCAUUGCAGCUCCAAGAAGAACUCAAGACAAGCAGUAGCAUCUGACAGUAGUAUGUCCAGGCAUAACAGCAGUGGUCCAGUGAGAAGAGAGAGAGAAAACACAGAGAAAGAUGGAUUGCACAUAUUCUCGGUGGUUUUCUCAGACGUCCUCUUGUUCUGGUGAAGGAUGACUCCUCGUGACUUUGGGAUAUUGCAGUGAGCGAGGCUUGUGUGAGUUUGUUUUAUUUCCUGAAAGAUGUGGACAUCUGUGUAUACUUGCGUGUGUGAAUGUAUACACAUGGGCACACACAUACACUCAUGUGUACAUGAAUAUCUUUAUGAGUGACAGCAAAGUCAAGGGUGUUUCCAAAGGGCUGUAUCAUGUUUUCUGAGAGCAUAGUCUUAUGGCUUGGGAUUACACUGGAGCAUCGUUUUUUGUAACCACAGCCUGGGUCUGACUGGGAGACUGUGACAUGUGUCUCCCGCUGACAGGGUUUCUCCACCAGGCUUGUGACUAGAAAAUCUGACUACAGACAGGUGGAUUCUGAGCCUUACUUCUUCAUAUUUCUUGAACUUGGACUCCCAUCCAGUGUGAGAGAUCAGGCAGAAGUUUCUGGACAAAGAAGCCAGCUGCCGUAUUGUGAAGACACACAAGCAGCCCUCUGCAGAGGCUCAUGCCCCAAGGAGCUGAGGCCUCCUGACAGAAGCUAAGAAGAAAACUGAAGCCUCAUGCCAAUGGCCAUGGGAGUGAGCCAUUUUGGAACUGGAUUUUCCAGCCCCGGUCAAGUCUUCAGAUGCCUGCAACCCUGGCCAAGAGCAUAACUAUAAUCUCAUUAAAGACAUUGUUCUCAUUAAAGCCAAAACAAGGCAGAUAAGCUAUUCCUGAAUUACUGAUCCAUGGAAACUGCAAUCGUAAAUAUUUAUUGUUUUAAGUCACUAAAUUUUGAGGUUACACAGCAAUAGGUAACUAAUACGCAGUUUUAGAAUUGAUGAUAAAUUUUGUCAAUGCUUUUUACCCCUUAUCACCUUUUGUCAAGAAGUCUUGAUAAAAGUACGACAGCUGUACAUUAAUGCUAAAAGUAAGUAUGCAGGGGGAGUUCCUAUGUAUCACAGUGGGUUAAGGAUCCACUGUUGUCACUGCAGUAGCUCAGGUCACUGCUAUGGUGCAGUGCAACCCCGGGCUCGGGAACUUCCACAUGUCAUGGGGACAGCCAAAAAGUAAUUUAAAAAUGAAAGUAAUCAUGUAGCUAUGAAGAGCUUGAAUAGUCCUAGAACCUGGGUCUGUCUGUUUCCAAAGUCUUGUCCUUAACUAUUAUGCUGAAGCACCCAGUGCUUUAUUUUUGUUAAAUCAUCAAACUGGUAAGAACAGCUAUUGGUCUGCAAGGGUCUUCCAUACCAGGAAAUAAAACCUCUCAGGCAGCAUGUUCAGUGUUUCAAAAGAUUUUCUUUGUUUCUUUUUACUAUCUUAUUAACUACUGUGGGGAAAAAAGUGCUUAAAAUAGCCCAUAUAAAAUUCAUGUGGUCUGUAUCAUGUGGUGGGUUACCCAAUAACCCUCUCUCUCUGCAGUCACUAUGGGGCUGUUAUUUGAGGAAGUCAUUAUUCCAAUACUUUACAUUAACUUAGACUAGGCUUAUGAGGUGAUAUUCAGCUGCCAAUAGGAGGGUUCCUUUUAACCCCAUCUUUUCUCUCUUAGGCCAAAAGUAACACCCAGUAUCCAUCUUCACAAGCAAUGCACAGUCACCUCAGCUGAGAGUGACAGAAUUAUCUGGCAACACAGCAAGACUUCCAAAAAGGAUAAUGUUUAGGUUUUGCACUUCCAGCUCACUGCCACCUGUGGAUAGGGUUGAAAAGUCCCAGGAAGAGCUAAUGGAUGGAAUAGCAAUUUGUUAAACAGCACAUAAGAUGAGACAAAGGUAGUGUUAAAAUAGUAAUGAUAAUGAGUAGCCUUAUAUGCCCUUUUAAUUUUAUAAAAUCUCUUUACACAUAUUUGCUUUCAGGAGUCUUAAACUUCUCUAGGAAAUGAUGGCAGUGUCAAAGAUGAUGACAAUGUCUACUGUUGCUAUCUCUUGUCUUACAAAUCAGGAAACUGAGGCUCAGAGUAAUCCAGAAAAUCACUCAGAGUCAUGAAACUAAUAAUGGACAUGGAGUUCAAAUCCUAGGCUUGAUUUCAUACCUAAUACUCUUCUCUGAACCCUACUUAGGUAUCUGCCAUCUUUGUACAUGUCACUCAGGGGGCACCCUACCUUACCAAGAGUAGACCCUCAAUGUAUUUUAUUUAAUGCCCCUGAAAAGGGGAUGGAGCUUAUAUUGCAAGGAAGGGAAAAUAGGUUUUCAGGGAACCCCAUCCCUUUCUUUACUUUCUUUCUUCCCUCUGUGGAUCUCGGGCAAUCAAAUGAAAAAAAAAAAAAAAAAAAA